UAUUUAGAAAGUUUCUUAUUUCAGUAUGCUGAAGCCAAUAUUAUUCACAAUAGUUCCCCUUUAACAGGUGAAUGUCUGUGCAUUUAAUGGGUUAUUUUACUGUCACUUCACUGCCUAACAGAUUUCUAACACACACAAAAUGACAAUAAAAUUUAACCGUAAGGAGUGUUGUGGGGGGGGGGGAUGAAAAAAAUUGUUGUAUAUACAAAAAUUCCUUAUAGGAUUAUUGUGUCAAAGUCCUUUCACAAUAGUGCAACAGAACAAAUUUUGUAACCGAUUACAAGUCUGUAAAAAUGACUGCACAUGCUAUAUAAGGUGUUUUUGCAUUCUUCAACACAAUGCAAGGUUACAUAUUAAAUAAAUGCAAGGUUAGCAAAAAUAAAGUUUCCAUAACUAUUAUUUCCGCAAGAUUUUUUUCCUUGAAUAUAAAAUUAGUGUUACCCAUUAGCAUUAUAAGGAUUAAAAAAAAUAAUAAUCACAGAAAAAGGAAAAAGAAAGAGGAAAGAAAAAUCUAACCUGUGCCUGCCUUGAUAGGCAUAAUUAUAAGGUACAGACUAGGUAUCGUGGUUAUAAAAGUGAAAAUGCAUUUGUCACACAUGAUGGUAGAAAUGAGCAAUAUUUACUAUGAAUGCAGUUAUGGGAAAACAAUUGAAUCAUUCUGGAGGGAUGGUAAUAACAUUCUUGUAUUUCUUGGGAGAAAAAUUCAGUGAAAUGACUCGCUGGGAACAGUAUGAGCCAGCUACUCAUGCUGAUCGAUGACUGCAUUGGUGCUUGAACAUUUAAAGCAACCAGACACACGCAGUCUGCUAACAGACAGUGACUCUGACCAUCCUACAUAUUUGAAGCUAUAAGAGUCUGACACCAAAAUAAAGCCAUUCCCAGAUGAUACAAGACUGGAGCAGAUGCCAGCUAUAUUGGAUUCUUGACGCAGCACUUUCAAUAUAUACUUUAAAAAAAUAAAUGGACCAAGGAGACCUGGGAUGAAUAUUCAAGACAACUCAUGUGUGCCUUUUUGACAAGGAUUGAAGGCAACAAGAAUUAUACUAUAAUUUUGAUUGCUUUCCAGAAACCCAUGCUGUGUGGUCUUACACAAAGUUAUUCAAAAAACAUAUGGCAGAAAUAAAGUUAAAGGUCUGUAAAAUAAACACAUAAAGAAAAACAGUAUUGGAACGGUCAGGGUAAAUGGACCAACAGGUUGGUUUUUCAUCCUUAUUUUAUAUAAAAUAAGGUUUGAAGUACUUGCCUUGCUAAAUAGGUAUAUUUUAUUUCAUAUACAAUAACAUGUAUAACUACUCCGUCAUCACAUUUUAUAUACACAAUUGAAUAAAUUCAGCCAUUCAUCAAAUUAAUUUAAGCCAUCAACCACUGGUUAUUUAUUUUUGGGGGUGAUUCCGAGGGGUUAAUGAAUUGUACAUACUCAAUUUGACAAAUGUGUGUAUUUAAAACGUGAUUUCUGGUGUGAGGAAUAGAGUUCCACAAUUCACUUUAAUAUAAUUAAAAAAAAAUAUAUAUCUAUUUGGCACUGGAAACAGGAAAAAAUAAAUCAGGUGGCCAUUACUAACAGUAAGCAGCUCUAAAGUCUGCUAUGUUAAGAAUGCCAGCUCAAAUAGAUUUGUAGAUAACUUGUGGUUUGAAUGAUCCCGGUAGUUCUAACAGACCAGAGAAAGAUUUCUUUAGAAUGACAUCAUAAGCCAAAUUUAAAGUAUGACUUGGAUCUGAUUUACAUGCUAUGACUUUUAUCUAAACACGAAAAAGUGACAGUGUAAGAAAAGAAUUAAUAGUUAUGUUAGUAGCAAACUUGCAAUAGCUGCUAGCAGGAAAAAGUUUAAGGAAAAAAAGUGGAGAAAUAAUUUAAUUUCUGAGGCUCUAAGCUACCAUGCUAAUGGUUAUGUUUUGGGGUGAUUGCUGCCAAUAGUAUAUGUUGGGAGCUAACAUUUUCAGCUCAACGCACAAUUUCAGGCAUUUGUUAUGUAUUCCAGAGACAACUCUAUUAGCUUUAAAAGAUUUAGAAAGCUUUUAAGGUUCUACAGCUCUUAAAAAACUCACUUCAACAGGAUAAACCAUGUUUAACAAACAUUAUUUUAUGUAAAUGUAACCAAAGGACAAUAUCUGACACAGGCAUUUGCCAAUCAAGCAAACUAAUUUAGAUGUCAGUAGACCACCACCAUUUUCUACAUUUUCAGGUAUGAGGCAAGGCAAUUCUGAAUAAAAAUGCUAAUAAUUAAAAACAAAAGCACCAACACAUCAAAUUGAAAAUAAAGACCAGGAGGUGAAUUUCUCACAUUUUUUUCAAAAAAACAAAAACAAAAUAAAAACUGCUUGUGUGUUUCAAAAUUAGUCAUAGUUCUGUUCUUUCCUUCAGUUGGUCAAAUGGUAAGAUCUACUAAUGUGUGGCACUGGCUAACAUAAUACGUCUGGGGAGCUUACUAUACUAAGUAUUCUCUCAGGUUAAAAGGUUUAAGUCACUGGGAGUGGGAUGCUUAAAAAACUGCUUAAAAAACUGCCAUCCCACAGUGAUUUUAACGUUCCUUCUCCUUAAAUUUUUUAUAGCAGCCCAAUAUAGGGAAAGCCAUUCUCAUCAUGAGUAUCUAGGGAUCUCAUCAUGUCUUAUCCUCCUCACCGCAUACCUUCUGCUGUGCCAGCUCAAACUGUAUUAGUAAAUACAUCCUCCCACCUGUGUUAUGGGUCUCCCCCCACCACUCUACUGUAUCAAUGAACAAAGUUUAUCAUAAGCAAUUGCUUAUAUUUAAUUUAAAAAAUUGUAGCAGUUUCCCUUUAAGUUAUAAAAGAGAAUAUAUUUCUAAUAACAAGCUUGUGCAUAUCAUUACUUGAGAAAAAAAACUUCUUGCUCCCAGAGCUAGAAAGUUUAGGCAUUGUUUUACUUAAAGUAAACCACUGGCUUAAACAUUGAAUAUUUUGCUUUUCAAUUAAGAUCAACAAAUCGGAAGAAAUUUAAAUAGAUACUAGAAGAGAGAUUUUUUUCCCAUUUAGGGCUUUCUUUAAAACUGGGUGUAUAUAAGAGAAGAUUCAGGAAGCUUCUGCUUGCAAAAAUGAGCAUGUUGGGGAAUGUAUGACUAGACACAGGAACUAUUUUAAUGACGUCAAAAGGUAUAGCUGCAAUUUUAAAAUGACCACAACUGCAAAUCCAAUUUCUCAUCCCAGGAACUUUGCUCAAGAUCAAUUAAACUAGAAGAAAACUCAUCAGAAAACAUUAACAUGCCAAGGCAUGCCAGCAAAUAUGAAGGGAUUAAUGUUAAGUAAAAAGAAUGAUAAAAGAGGGAGCUAAGAUUCCCCUUUCUGAAACACUGUGUUGCAUAUCCCCCCCCCAAAGGCCUUUACUAUUAUCAGUGCCCUUUUUCCACACAUGAUAAAGGCCUGUGACCUCUUUAGAAAAUAGGAUAACAUUUUCAACAGAGAGGAUGAAUUGUAUUGCUCAGCGUGUGAUAAGUACAUGAGUCAGUUGUACUAUUACUCACCCGAUUAGGGACACCAUCUGCUCCACAAUGUGCUUGCUGAAUGUUAUGAUAACAAAGAGCUUCUGUAGAGAAAGGAAAAACAUCACAAUCACUUCAGAAACACAAAGCCAUAGAAAAGAAUACUUGAAAAGAAAAAGAUUCAGCAUCUAAAACUUUUUUUACCCACGCAAGAAAUAGUAUAGAAGGGCCCUUUGAUUCAAAUGUAAUUUUAAUCUGAAACAGAACUAUAGCCAAAUAUCUGAUUCUUACUAGGCUGCAUACAUCUAACAUCAGCAGUGUUACAACUUAAUAAGCAUACAUUUACCAGAAAAUAUAAUACAUACAGUAGACAGAACAAUGAAUAAAAACUAUUAAAAGGGUAGUUUACCUUAACAUUACCUUUCACAAUGUUAAAGGCACCUAUAAACCCUAUUCUUAGCAAUUUUUCAAUUCUCUUCACUUUAUUUUUUCAUUAUUUGUCUUUUUGGUCUCUUUCCAGCUU